rnacentral:rRNA from 1 species
GACGAACGCUGGCGGAGAAAAGAACACAUGCAAGUCGAACGGAAAGGCCCUGCUUUUGUGGGUUGCUCGAGCGGCGAACGGGUGAGUAACACGUGAGUAACCUGCCCUUGUCUUUGGGAUAACUUCACGAAACUGGGGCUAAUACCGGAUAGGAGCUCCUGCUGCAUGUUGGUGGUUGGAAAGUUUCGGCGGUUGGGGAUGGACUCGCGGCUUAUCAGCUUGUUGGGGGGGUAGUGGCUUACCAAGGCUUUGACGGGUAGCCGGCCUGAGAGGGUGGCCGGCGACAUUGGGACUGCGAGACGGACCAGACUGCUACGGGCGGCAGCAGGGGGGAACAUUGCACAAUGGGCGGAAGCCUGAUGCAGCAACGCUGCGUGCGGGAUGACGGCCUACGGGUUGUAAACCGCUGUCGCCGGUGCCGAAGCGUGCGUGACGGUAAUGGGUAAAGAAGCACCGGCUAACUACGUG